UACGUAGGGCGCGAGCGUUAUCCGGAGUUACUGGGCGUAAAGCGCGGGCAGGCGGUCUGGCAAGUCUGAUGUGAGAUCUCCGGGCUCAACCGGGAGAGGCCAUUGGAAACUGACAGGCUGGAGGGCAGUAGAGGUAGGCGGAAUUCCGGGUGGAGUGGUGAAAUGCGUAGAGAUCCGGAGGAACACCUGAGGCGAAGGCGGCCUACUGGGCUGCACCUGACGCUGAGCCGCGAAAGCCAGGGGAGCGAACGGG
rnacentral:rRNA from 1 species